CCCGCUCAAGAACUACAAAGGUAAUUGGACCGGGGACCCGCACAAGCAGCGGAGCAUGUGGUUUAAUUCGAAGCAACGCGAAGAACCUUACCAGAUCUUGACAUCCAAUUGACCAUUCUUUUAAUCGAGUAUUUUUGCCUUCGGGUACAAUUGAGACAGGUGGUGCAUGGUUGUCGUCAGCUCGUGUCGUGAGAUGUUGGGUUAAGUCCCGCAACGAGCGCAACCCUUGUUGUUUAGUUGCAAACAGGUCAAGCUGUGCACUCUAGACAGACUGCCGUGGACAACACGGAGGAAGGUGGGGAUGACGUCAAAUCAUCAUGCCCCUUAUGAUCUGGGCUACACACGUGCUACAAUGGCCGGUACAACGGGCAGCGAAGGAGCGAUCCGGAGCGAAUACCUAAAAAGCCGGUCCCAGUUCGGAUUGCAGGCUGAAACUCGCCUACAUGAAGUUGGAGUUGCUAGUAAUCGCGAAUCAGAAUGUCGCGGUGAAUGCGUUCCCGGGCCUU
rnacentral:rRNA from 1 species